UACGAAGGGGGCUAGCGUUGCUCGGAAUCACUGGGCGUAAAGCGCACGUAGGCGGAUUGCUAAGUCAGGGGUGAAAGCCUGGUGCUCAACACCAGAAUUGCCUUUAAGACUGCAUCGCUUGAACGUCGGAGAGGUGAGUGGAAUUCCGAGUGUAGAGGUGAAAUUCGUAGAUAUUCGGAAGAACACCAGUGGCGAAGGCGGCUCACUGGACGACUGUUGACGCUGAGGUGCGAAAGCGUGGGGAGCAAACAGG
rnacentral:rRNA from 1 species